rnacentral:lncRNA from 1 species
CCAGAAUGCUGGCUGCCUCUACGCGCAGGGAGGAAGGAGGGCUUUCAUCCGUGGGCACAGGGCGGGGACCCGAGAGCCCCCGGUGGGGGCGUUUGAGAGUUGCCCAGGCCCCUUGCUGCCAUUCUCCAGGACCUCCCACUGCACCCCUCACAGCGUCUGUCACCUCCUCUCCUCCUCCUGCCACCCUCCUGCCUCCCAAGGAAUUUUCCUGAGAUGGUAAGAAACAAGCAAAGAACAUUUGUUCACCGGGAGUCAUUAUAAAGAACGUGAAGUCAAGCCACAAAUUAGGAGAAGCUAUCUCCCAUACACGUAAGCGACAAGCGGUUUCUACCCAGUAAGACAUCAAAGCUGCCCCACACGUCAGUGAGAUGUGGGAUCCGAGAGAAAAAUGGGCAAAAGACACGAAAAGGCCCGUCACAGAGCAGGAAACAGAAAUGGCCAAGAAACAUGUGAAAACCAGGUGUGUCCUGACAUGCAGAAAGCCACGGAGGCCGUGUGCUGUCACCCGGGAGGCAUGUAGCAUGGUCUAGCCUUGGGGUGACUUGAACUCUCUGGCUCUCAGCUGUGAGUGAGUGCACAGGGACCCUGACCCCUUGUUCAGCCCCAGGACAUGGUGGCAAUGGAACCUGGAGAGGAGGAAGCAGGAGGUCACUUUGGUAGAAACCAUGCGUGGCAGAGAGUGGGAAGGAGACCCUAUGAGAAGACAGGCUCGUGCAUUCU